AUGGGUGUACUUCCGUUGGCACGACACUACCUCUGUGGCGUCACUGGUGUUUAUUCUCAUCGUCGUCUUGAGCGAGGUAUUCAGCAAGCACAGAAUCAUGGACCGUGCACUGCAAGUCGCCAUGACCCUGGACCUGUUCACCCUGGUUGUCGCCCAUGGCAGGAGACUUGCGGCACGUGGCGAAGAGUGUUGAGGGAGAAGAUGAAGCACUGUGUACCCAAUUGGCUCAACAAGUUAUAUGAGCUGCCAAUGAAAGGGCACCCUGACGGGGAAGCAUUGGGAUGGAAUUUGGAGGACGAGCGCCAUUUUGUAUUGCUCGUUGCAAUAAUGAUUUCAAAUGGCAUCGUCACAUACAACCCAGGCAUGAGCCUAUCACCCAGCUUUCAGUUAGAGAAUCGGUUCGACCAUGCCAUGGAGAACCGGGCAUUCCACUCCAACGAAUUUUAUGCAGGAAACCUCACGAACAAAGUCAGCAUGAGUUCUGUGUCCAGCUUAUGGCAAGAGAAUACCUCAGCCAACCUGAACCUGGCUUUCUACUGCAAUGCAACUGCCUUUACUGGGUUCCUAGUUACCAUCAUGCUGCUGGCGAACAGGGAGCUCUCAUCAAGAAGAAUGCAGUGGUACGUGCUGCGGCUGUGCCCAGUUCUCGAAGUGAUCGGCUUCCUGGGCACGUGGAACCCCCUCACGAAAUCGAUGGAGGAGAUAUUUGAAGCUGUCUUCUUAAUUCUACUCGGCAUUGCAUACUGUGUUAUAAUGUCAAGACGUCCGUGGCAGAGAGUUCAAUCGAUGCUCGGAUGGCUCCAGCAUACUUUUCGAGUGGAUCCCUCGGAGGAAGAGGGCUCAGAGGAAGAGCUGGAGUUCGGCCUAGCAGGUGGGGGCACGAACGGGGAGCCCGUGGCAGUGGAGAUUUCUGCGCCGGUUCUUGGGGGUGCACUCACCCUCGUCUUGGCCAUACCGGUGAUGCGCAUGCUCGCAAGUCCGGUGAAGAUGGUCCUGGCAUUCUUUGUUGCCUCAAUUGGAGCAGACCUUUGGCGAAGGUUGCUCGCUCGUUUACUGAGCGCGCUGGCCAUGGCUCUCCAUCAUCGGCGCAACCCAGGUCAAGGUUCCGUGCCAACUGUCUCCUCGGGGCGGAAUGGAUGGUAUAUGAUUUUAGCUACGUGCAAUGGACUCUGCAAGGUGAUCCGCGCGCUCUGCUCCAAAGCAUGCGUGUGGAUACUGGUGUUCGUGAUCUGGUUCCCUUCCCUGAUGCCCAACCUGAAGCUGAAGUUCAAGAUCCCCAAGAUAUCAGCUCUUGUUGGUGUGCUGAUUGCACUUGCUACCACGGCAACGACAACGACUACCGUGGACUCCCCGACCACGGAAAUUACAGCUACUGAGAUGUCCACCUCGACCACAGCCAUAACUGCCUCAGGCACCAGCAGCAGCAGGAGCCGCAAGCAUCCACCUCGUGUUGAUGAAAGACCCAGGAGGAGCUGUAGGCCCAACAAGCGCCUCAUGGGUGAGGAGUGGGUAAAUUAG
rnacentral:rRNA from 1 species